GAUUAACGCUGGCGGCGUGCCUAACACAUGCAAGUCGAGCGGCAGCGAGUUUUACACUGACUUCUGGAAGCUUCUAGUUGAAAGAGAAGAUUUAUUCAAGAAUUUUGUGUAAAAUGUCGGCGAGCGGCGGACGGCUGAGUAACGCGUGGGAACGUACCCCAAAGUGAGGGAUAACGCAUCGAAAGGUGUGCUAAUACCGCAUAUGGUCUUCGGAUUAAAGCCUUCGGGCGCUUUGGGAACGGCCUGCGUAAGAUUAGAUAGUUGGUGGGGUAAUGGCCUACCAAGUCGACGAUCUUUAACUGGUUUGAGAGGAUGAUCAGUCAGACUGGAACUGAGACACGGUCCAGACUCCUACGGGAGGCAGCAGUGAGGAAUCUUCCACAAUGGGCGAAAGCCUGAUGGAGCAACGCCGCGUGCAGGAUGAAGGCCUUCGGGUUGUAAACUGCUUUUAUAAGUGAGGAUUAUGACAGUAACUUAUGAAUAAGGAUCGGCUAACUACGUG
rnacentral:rRNA from 1 species